rnacentral:rRNA from 1 species
GACGAACGCUGGCGGCGUGCCUAAUACAUGCAAGUAGGACGCAGUUGCGAACGGGUGAGUAACGCGUAGGUAACUGCCUAUUAGAGGGGGAUAACUAUUGGAAACGAUAGCUAAUACCGCAUACUAGUAGAUGGACCUGCGUUGUAUUAGCUAGUAGGUAGGGUAAUGGCCUACCUAGGGAACGAUACAUAGCCGACCUGAGAGAGGGAUCGGCCACACUGGGACUGAGACACGGCCCAGACUCCUACGGGAGGCAGCAAUAGGGAAACAUCGGGAAUGGGGGGAACCCUGGCCGAGCAACGCCGCGUGAGUGAAGAAGGUUUUCGGGUCGUAAAGCUCUGUUGUUAAGGGAGCGGUACUUAACCAGAAAGGGACGGCUAACUACGUGCCGGCAGCCGCGGUAAUAC